AACGCGAAGAACCUUACCCGGGUUUGAAUUGCACUGGUUGUAGUCGGUAGAGAUAUCGGCGAGUCCGCAAGGGCGCUGGUGUGAAGGUGCUGCAUGGCUGUCGUCAGCUCGUGCCGUGAGGUGUUGGGUUAAGUCCCGCAACGAGCGCAACCCUUGUCCUUAGUUGCCAGCGAGUAAUGUCGGGCACUCUGUGGAGACUGCCGUCAUAAGACGGAGGAAGGUGGGGAUGACGUCAAGUCAGCAUGGCCCUUACGUCCGGGGCUACACACGUGCUACAAUGGUCGGUACAACGGGCAGCGAGACCGCGAGGUGGAGCGAAUCCCUUUAAAGCCGGCCUCAGUUCGGAUUGCAGGCUGCAACUCGCCUGCAUGAAGUUGGAAUCACUAGUAACUGCAGAUCAGCUACGCUGCGGUGAAUGCGUUCCAGGGCCUUGUACACACCGUAGUAC
rnacentral:rRNA from 1 species